rnacentral:rRNA from 1 species
AACGAACGCUGGCGGCAGGCUUAACACAUGCAAGUCGAGCGCCCCGCAAGGGGAGCGGCAGACGGGUGAGUAACGCGUGGGAACGUACCUUUUGGUUCGGAACAACUCCGGGAAACUGGAGCUAAUACCGGAUAAGCCCUAACGGGGAAAGAUUUAUCGCCGAAAGAUCGGCCCGCGUCUGAUUAGCUAGUUGGUGGGGUAACGGCUCACCAAGGCGACGAUCAGUAGCUGGUCUGAGAGGAUGAUCAGCCACACUGGGACUGAGACACGGCCCAGACUCCUACGGGAGGCAGCAGUGGGGAAUAUUGGACAAUGGGCGCAAGCCUGAUCCAGCCAUGCCGCGUGAGUGAUGAAGGCCUUAGGGUUGUAAAGCUCUUUUGUCCGGGAAGAUAAUGACUGUACCGGAAGAAUAAGCCCCGGCUAACUUCGUG